UUAAGUAGUGCCCAUGUCACAAGCAAGUAAAACCAUUCAAAACAGUUUUUUUCUGCACUAGGUUAACUAAGGGUUAACAAUAAUGAUAGUAACCGCUUUUUUGCUGCGCGUGUCAAAAAGAAAUUUAUUGCUGCGCCACUAACAGAGAUAGAACUUAGCCUUCUGUGCUAUACAUGAAUCAUUAUAAUUGGUCAAAGAAAACAAGGAGUAACCCUAUGAUAACACCCUAGCGAAGACUGCUAGAUAAUUGGCGAUUCUAAUUAAAUUUAUGACGUGGCGAAAACCAAUUGGCUAUUACACAAAUAAAACCCGUCUUCACUUCCGUGAAGAAGGGGAGACCUCUGCACACACUACCUGGAGACUUCUGAACGUAUGCGGUAGAGUAACUGACAAUUUGAUCACUUGCCAGUUCGCCUCCCCGUCUUCGACCUUAUCUCAGACUUAAAUCAAUGACCUGCCGGCCCGACCUUCUGCCCGACCACCAAACUCUUAUGCAGACCGACCUAUGACCUACGAACCUUAAGCUAUAACUAACCAAGUAUAUCUGACCUCCGUCUUUCACCACCUUGACGGCUGACCAGUUUCCAGAGAAGACUGAAGGAAAUCGGUCCCCGUGAUACUACAGUUCACUUUCACUUCUUUCUUGGAUUUAUAUAUUUGGAUCACAUGGCUCCGAUGGGACCAGCUGGUAUGUUUAUGGCUGGCCUUUUGCUGCUUGACAAGAAACCAGCUGUGCUGUCUCAGAAGAUGGAUCUAUGCAUGGGCCUGUGUGCGGCUGGAGACAAGAAGCUAAGAAUUUGUGAUUUACUGGGAGAGCUGUGCCAAAUACAUGCAUCCAGGUUCAUUACUGCCAUGGGACAACAUUUGGAUGUGGCAGAGAGGCCACCAGCCCCAGCAGGGAUGUGGGCUCCAGGUCAUUGCCACCUGCCACUGGAGUCUCCUGCAUGUGCUGGCUGUGCCAGCGGCACACCAGGGACUGGACCUCCAGCUCCAGGCUGGGUGUAGCGGGACCACUGGGACUGCAUGGAGGCCCUGGAUUGGGAACACCUGGAGCAGCUCUGACAGCCAUGGACACCCUUCUGCCCUUGGCAGCCAUGUACAUGUCCCCCACUGCCUGGCUCCUGCCCAUGUCCCUACAGGGCUUCUUUGUCCUGACUGCCGCCCAGCAGCAAACACUCGUGUGACCCUGGGAGGAGCUCCUCAGGCACCUCCUGCCUGUCAGACCUCCUGGCCCAGCCCCCAGCCUGGACCUGCCACUACCUGCCUGGGCCCAGAUGCACUGCUUUUCCUUGCACCAUGCAGGCGAAGACCUGGCCGUACAUGAGGUCACCACCUGCUGUGGUUGCUGCAGCCCCCUGACCCACAUGGGAACAUCCAGGGGCUUGGGUGCUGGACACCUGCCCUGGGGCUCUGCCUCCUAGGCCCUGCCAUGGCCCCGCUUUCAGGGCUUGAACACCAAAAUUAUUGUAAAUAGUUUUCAAUGUGUAUAUAGUUUCACACUUAUAUAUAGUUUCCCACCUGUAUAUAGUUUUCCACUUGUAAGCAGGUUUUUUAUUGUUGGUGAGUGGGGAGGGUGGUGGAG